GAAGGGAGCUUGCUCCUGGAUUCAGCGGCGGACGGGUGAGUAAUGCCUAGGAAUCUGCCUGAUAGUGGGGGACAACGUUUCGAAAGGAACGCUAAUACCGCAUACGUCCUACGGGAGAAAGCAGGGGACCUUCGGGCCUUGCGCUAUCAGAUGAGCCUAGGUCGGAUUAGCUAGUUGGUGAGGUAAUGGCUCACCAAGGCGACGAUCCGUAACUGGUCUGAGAGGAUGAUCAGUCACACUGGAACUGAGACACGGUCCAGACUCCUACGGGAGGCAGCAGUGGGGAAUAUUGGACAAUGGGCGAAAGCCUGAUCCAGCCAUGCCGCGUGUGUGAAGAAGGUCUUCGGAUUGUAAAGCACUUUAAGUUGGGAGGAAGGGCAUUAACCUAAUACGUUAGUGUUUUGACGUUACCGACAGAAUAAGCACCGGCUAACUUCGUGCCAGCAGCCGCGGUAAUACGAAGGGUGCAAGCGUUAAUCGGAAUUACUGGGCGUAAAGCGCGCGUAGGUGGUUUGUUAAGUUGGAUGUGAAAGCCCCGGGCUCAACCUGGGAACUGCAUCCAAAACUGGCAAGCUAGAGUAUGGCAGAGGGUGGUGGAAUUUCCUGUGUAGCGGUGAAAUGCGUAGAUAUAGGAAGGAACACCAGUGGCGAAGGCGACCACCUGGGCUAAUACUGACACUGAGGUGCGAAAGCGUGGGGAGCAAACAGGAUUAGAUACCCUGGUAGUCCACGCCGUAAACGAUGUCGACUAGC
rnacentral:rRNA from 1 species